GCCUCUGUGGUCUAGUGGUUAGACCACCUGCUUUAGACGCAGAGGUCCUGGGUUCAAUUCCCAGUGGGGGCA